AUAGUACCUUCUGCUCAAUGUAAAUAGCCGCAGUACCCUGACUGUGCAAAGGUAGCAUAAUCAUUUGACUUAUAAUUGAAGUCUGGAAUAAAUGAACCAUGAAGGUUACUGUCUUCUUCUUUCUUAAAAAUUAAUAAUGAAGUGAAAAUACUUCAUAUAUAAAAAGACGAGAAGACCCUUGAAAUUUUUAUUUUUGUUGGGGCAACAUAGUAUUACUAUAUAAAUAUAUUUUAUAAAUAAUAAAUUACUCAAGGGAUAACAGCAUAAUCUUUUAUGUUUGUGACCUCGAUGUUGGAUUAGGAAUAAUCAAAG
rnacentral:rRNA from 1 species